GAUGAACGCUAGCGGCAGGCUUAAUACAUGCAAGUCGAGGGGUAGCAGGGUAGCAAUACCGCUGACGACCGGCAAACGGGUGCGGAACACGUACACAACCUUCCUUUUAGUGGGGAAUAGCACAGAGAAAUUUGGAUUAAUACCCCGUAACAUAGCGAUGUGGCAUCACAUUGUUAUUAUAGGUUUACCGCUAAGAGAUGGGUGUGCGGCUGAUUAGGUAGUUGGCGGAGUAACAGCCCACCAAGCCAACGAUCAGUAGCUGAUGUGAGAGCAUGAUCAGCCACACGGGCACUGAGACACGGGCCCGACUCCUACGGGAGGCAGCAGUAAGGAAUAUUGGACAAUGGACGCAAGUCUGAUCCAGCCAUGCCGCGUGAAGGAUUAAGGCCCUCUGGGUUGUAAACUUCUUUUAUAGGGGACGAAAAAAGGGCUUUCUAGCUCGUCUGACGGUACCCUAUGAAUAAGCACCGGCUAACUCCGUGCCAGCCGCCGCCGUAAUAC
rnacentral:rRNA from 1 species